rnacentral:rRNA from 1 species
AGCACGUAGGUGGGUUUGUAAGUCAGAUGUGAAAGCCUUCUGUUCAAAGGAAGAACGGCAUCUGAAACUGCAAAUCUUGAGUGUAGGAGGGGAGAGUGGAACUUCUGGUGGAGCGGUGAAAUGCGUAGAUAUCAGAAGGAACGUCGGCGGCGAAAGCGACUCUCUGGCCUAUUACUGACACUGAGUGUGCGAAAGUUAGGGGAGCAAACGGGAUUAGAUACCCCGGUAGUCCUAACUGUAAACGAUGGGCACUAAGUAGAGGGAAUUACCAAUGUUCUCUCUGCCGUAGCUAACGCAUUAAGUGCCCCGCCUGGGGAGUACGGCCGCAAGGCUAAAACUCAAAAGAAUUGACGGGGGCUCGCACAAGCGGUGGAGCAUGUGGCUUAAUUCGAUGCAACGCGAAAAACCUUACCGGGGUUUGACAUGGUAGAAGUAGGAGCCCGAAAGGGUAACCAACGGUAUCCAGUCCGUAACUACUGCAGGUGUUGCAUGGCUGUCGUCAGCUCGUGUCGUGAGACGUUGGGUUAAGUCCCCUAACGAGCGAAACCCUUAUUUUUAGUUACCAUCGGGUUAUGCCGGGUACUCUAGAAAGACUGCCGUCGUCAAGACGGAGGAAGGUGGGGAUGACGUCAAGUCAUCAUGGCCCCUUAUACCCCGGGGCUGCACACGCGCUA